CCCUUAGAUGUUCUGGGCCGCACGCGUGCUACACUGAGUGGAUCAGCGGGUCAGGUUACGCGAGAGCGUUUCCUAAUCUUCAAAUCCACUCGUGAUGGGGAUUGACGGUUGCAAUUUUCCGUCAUGAACGAGGAAUACCUUGUAAGCGCGGGUCAUCAUCCCGCGCUGAAUACGUCCCUGCCCUUUGUACACACCGCCCGUCGCUCCUACCGAUUGAGUGGUCCGGUGAGGCUUUGGGAUCUAAGCGAAAAGAGCGUUUCGCUCCUUUUGCUGGGAGAACUCAGUCGAACCUUAUCAUUUAGAGGAAGGAGAAGUCGUAACA
rnacentral:rRNA from 1 species